AAAAUAGUUGGUCGUCAAUCAUCAAAAUAGAUAAAUCGUGGGUCACUAAAAAAAGGUUGUCGGUGAAACAUACAUAAAACUCUCCAACACCCUAUACCUGCCAAAAUUCCAAUUCGCCAAGGUAAUUACAAAAAAGGGCUCAUACACAGGCUUCACAGGUAUAAAGUGGGAUACUCAGGCUCCUUUUGGGAGCCUAACUGUGCUAACCGG
rnacentral:misc_RNA from 1 species